AGGAUGAACGCUGGCGGCGUGCCUAAUACAUGCAAGUCGAACGAGUCCUUCGGGACGAGUGGCGGACGGGUGAGUAACACGUUGGUACCUACCCCGAAGUGGGGAAUAACUGCCCGAAAGGGUGGCUAAUACCGCAUAAUACCGCAAGGUUAAAGCAGUAAUGCGCUUCGGGAGGGGCCUGCGUCCCAUUAGCUAGUUGGUAGGGUAAUGGCCUACCAAGGCGACGAUGGGUAGCUGGAUCGAGAGGUUGACCAGCCACACUGGGACUGAGAUACGGCCCAGACUCCUACGGGAGGCAGCAGUAAGGAAUCUUCCACAAUGGACGAAAGUCUGAUGGAGCAACGCCGCGUGCAGGAUGACGGUCUUCGGAUUGUAAACUGCUUUUAUAUGGGAAGAUUAUGACGGUACCAUAUGAAUAAGGACCGGCUAACUACGCGCCAGCAGCCGC
rnacentral:rRNA from 1 species